UUACUUUCAAUUUGUUCCUAGUAAAAAUAGUUUUCUCUAAAUCUAUGUAGCCAAGGAUUUUUCUUUCCUAGGAAAUGGACAGAGGCAGCCCUGAUACUAAUGAAUAAAAAAGACAAGAUUACAGAGAAUUCAAGAGAACAUACUUUUUUUCAUUUCAUCUUCAAAACAAAUCUCUGAGGCAAACUGGACUAAGAGAGAAUUAUUUCCCCAAAGUGAGACCUCUGGUCAAGAUUAAAACAAAAUAAAAAGCCAUUGACAGCAACAGUCAAAUUUGAGAGGAUACAGGUAGUCCUCACUGCUCUGUCAGGAGACGGGGUUAGUAACUGAGGCGACACAAGUGAGUCAUAACAAGCUCUUUUAAUGGCAACAACUCUGCUAACAACAGCUCCAAAUAACCGGCAACGUUAACUGCAUCUGACAGCUCUUUUAUAUGCGGCUGUCAAAUAGCAUUAACCAAUCAAGGGGCACAGAACUCCCGCCCCCGAUGUAACUGCUUCUCAGCCAAUCAGGGAAAGGCAUCUCUGUCAUCAGGGUAGCGUGCCGACACAACACCCCUUUCCUCCUGGAUUGAGCAUGCGUAGUCCGCAAGGUUUGCAGGGCGCCUGUGGAUUUGCUUGGAUCAUUGCAGUUCGGGGGUGGCGGCCUGCAGGGCAGAUCGCUGCUCUUCCUGUGGAUCUAUCGGCUGCUCUCCAGGAACCUUGGCUGGGACCGCUUCUUCUUCUGCCACAACAAGAAGAGGCAGCCUAAACAUGGCUGCCACGACGCUGGGGCAGCCGAGGAACACCUAAGACUGGUGCUGGAGUGGAGUUACUGAACAGUGAUUGGAGCUGGUUGAGAAGAUCUUUUUUGCAUUUAGUCCCUGAACUUAAAGGGAAAAAAGAAAAUCCAGAGAAGAAAAGAGACUCUUAUAAAGACUCUUAUAUACCUUUUAUAAAGUGGCUAAUAACCACUUAAUAGAGAGAAAAAUACUAGACCCGAAUGAAAGGAACUGAAGGGAGAAAAGCUUUUAAACUGGGUAGGCGUUGUUAUGGAAAGGCAUUAUAAUAUGCUGGAACUAUGUACCUGAAUUGAUUUGAAUAUCUAAUUUUGUCUCUAUGAACUGAAUUGAAUUUGGAUUUUAAUUUAUCACAUUUGAAACAACACUGAAACCUCUGUUGAUGCUGCCAUCAACUGGUGAAUGGAAUAUACUACGCACCUACAAAUCUAGGAAAAUUUUGACAGAAGAAAUAAGCAACAUCUUUUUGAAGGAUUGUGGUGAUACUGUCCUGUAAUUAAUUACUUUACUUUUGUGAUAAGGAAGACUUUUAAGUAAAGUGACUUAUUGUGUGGAAACUGUCUGGACUAUUUAAAUGGAAUUGAUUAAUAACCCUGAAUGUAAAGAACUAUGAUUAUUUAACUCUUUGAUGAGCAAAACUGGAACUGAAUAUAUUGUUUGUGGCGCUGACUAAAAGUGGACUUAUUAAACUAAAACA